ACACAGGUGCUGCAUGGCUGUCGUCAGCUCGUGUCGUGAGAUGUUGGGUUAAGUCCCGCAACGAGCGCAACCCUCGCCCUUAGUUGCCAGCAUUUAGUUGGGCACUCUAAGGGGACUGCCGGUGAUAAGCCGAGAGGAAGGUGGGGAUGACGUCAAGUCCUCAUGGCCCUUACGGGCUGGGCUACACACGUGCUACAAUGGUGGUGACAGUGGGCAGCGAAGGAGCGAUCCCGAGCUAAUCUCCAAAAGCCAUCUCAGUUCGGAUUGCACUCUGCAACUCGAGUGCAUGAAGUUGGAAUCGCUAGUAAUCGCGGAUCAGCACGCCGCGGUGAAUACGUUCCCGGG
rnacentral:rRNA from 1 species